GAGGCGUACGGCGCGAGGACACCCGAUCCAGCAGAAACAAAACAAGGUCACGUGGCCGUGCCCAUCUCUUCUAGCCGGAGGGGAAAAAUGGAAGUACUGUACAGUAAACCAGUCGAACCUGUGCUCACGUGACCGUCUCUUCAGAACGCGGAAGCAAAAAAGGGGGCGUGUUCGUGAGAGCAGGGACGUGACAUCGCGACAGCUAGACAAAGUCUGGAAACUCCGUUCCGAUUUUCUCUUCGCGGCUCCCCCAACCCUGUCCCUGUACAUUGAGGCUUGACGUGGGCGGAAACUAGAUUUAAGACGAAAUGGGAAUAAGAUAGAGGGCUGGGAGCCGUAAUAGUCCAAUAAAUGUGCCCGAAUUAAAGAACGCACGGUCUUUUCCAGGCUUACCUUGCGCUGAAUCCCUUUAAACUCACUGGGGCUUAAAGGCGUGUUGGACGAAGUUCACUUUCAAGAUUUUCAGCUGGCAGAGUUUGAACAGCCUCCCAUCUAAAUUUCAAGUUUGUGCUUUAAUGAUUGCAAUAUAAAAAGUAUUUGUCUUGUUAACCUGAUCCAUUAGGUUGCCAAAUCCAAAUGACUCCCAUUAGGCAUUCAAAAACUGGCCAAUUCACUGUCUGCACUCCGGCUGAGCUUGCUUCCCUCACUAUUUCUCAAAUGGAGUUGGCAUCUCUGGAGAAGCAGAUAUGCAGCAUGCUGGUGACAGAAUGUUCCAGAAAACACCAGGAUGUUCUAUUUUCUUCUGGCCUAUUCCAAAAGAAAAAGGGAAACCCCCAAUAUUCCCCAGAAUGUUCUCUCCCCAGAAUGACUUUUCAGAAGGGCUACUGUACUGCUGGCCUAGCAUGAUGCCACCAAAUGUGCAACCACACUCAGAAGGGCCUCUGCGUGAAAAUCUGUUGCUCUGCCACCAGGCUGCCAUGCCACUAUAACUGCAGUUCUGCAAAAAAGGCUUCUGAAUGAAGAUGUAUGACCACAAUGCUGUGUAACUGCUGUAGCCAGAUGUAUUUGUUUCUGUAUACAGGCAUGCCCCUGUAUUGUAUUUUCAUUUUUACCAUCUUCCUUCAUACCAUCACUUUUUUGAUUUGCAAAUUGACAAAUGGAGACUAAUACAAGCUCAGACGUAUAGGACGUAAAACUGCCAAUGGCAUUAAACACACUCAGCUAUUGCUUAACUUGAAGGUGAACAUGGACUGACACUCUUUGAAACUUCUAGCUCACAAAAAUACUAAAAUGUACAUGAUUUUAGAACUAUGAAUAUUAGCAUAAAUCAGAAGAGACCAAAAAGAGAAUGCAAAAGUAUUCUGAUUUCAUUUAAAUGUGAAUUGUAAAAACAGGAAAUACAGCAUAUGGUGAUUUAUAGUAAUGGUUGCUACUUGGAUUGCUAAAUAAAUUAACCUUGAUUUUGAGUAACUAAAUUCAUGCAAGACAAGGCUUUCAAUGGCUAUAUACUGCUUCAAAUAUUAAUUAUUUUAUAGCAUAAGUGGAAGGGUAUUAUUGAGUUCUUAACUCUCCUCUUUCCAGAGGCAUUUACCUGACUACAUGGGCUUUGAUCUGACCCAGCAAACCUUUUUUAAAAAAAUGCAAACACAUACAAUAUAAGCACACACUUGUUGCCUCUUUUCCUCCUGCUGCUGGUCCUCCAUUAAGCCCCAAGCACUUCCCCUUGCUCCUUCCAAAGCAUAUGCAAGCUUAAUAAUGUAACACAACGCACACAUUCUGCACUUCUUCCAUUAAGCCAUUUUUCCUGACUCGGUGUAAAUGUUCUUUGAUGGUGGGCCUAAGAUCUAAUGCAUAAUUGGACAAUUUUGAGUCCAUGUCUGCCUUUCGGAGUCAUUAACAGGGAAUUUCCCUUUGUGAAUUCACCUAACAAACUGAUUUUUCCCACCUUAAAAAGCAGUUUUGCACCAGAUCUCACAUAUCUUGCAACAGCUAUUCCUGAACAGGUAAGAAUAAAUAUUUCCACACCUGUGUGUGUGUGUAUAUACACACACGUACAUACAUGUAUGUAUGUAUGUAGCAUACUGUAUGUAUCACAGUGUGGAUACUUGCAGAAGCUACUAAAUGGGACCUAGCUCCUUCCUGGAUAAUUAGCCUGAUAGAUCAUUCACACAGCCCAAGAAAGCAACAAAAGCCUCAAUCUCCUUUGUAACUACUACUACAUACUUACUCACCUUGCCAGCCCUGACUGUUCACCAGUUAUGGUAUUUUAGGACCUAAAAAUAUGAGAUAUCAGACUCUACCUGAAUUUUAAUUAAUCAAAGUGGAUUUAAACUUUCACUUUUCUUUUCUGUGGUUCCUCUGAUU